UGUGUGAGAGAGAGAGAGAGAGAGAGACCUUUGGCUGAAGGUUUGAAAUAAUCUGAGGCUUGUUGCCGUGUUCUCAUUUUUAAGUGCAACAUUGUGCUGCUGCUUAAAUGAUUUUCCCUGUACAAAGAAACAGUGUAUUUGUUUGCGUGCGUUUGUGUGUCAGCUAUAUUUAAAGCCUCUUUUUUCUUACGUUGACACGGCAAAAUCGAGGGCCAAAGCAAGGUCCGACAUUCAAAUUCCAGUCGUAGGACCAAUACCAGCUUGGCAGAGCCGUUGUAAAUAAAAUAUGUCAUCAAACAAGCUAGGCCAAUUGUUAGCUUUUCUGGUAACUGGAUUGAAGGCUUUUCUCCUCGUAUUUUUAUGAGUGCCAUUUUUGAAAGCACUUUUGACGUAAUUGUUGAACAGGUUUAAAUUUUCCGAUUGUCGUCCCCCACUGUUUCACGAGCAGAUUAGGGAGGAAACUGCCUGAACACGCCUCACACCGCAGGACAGUAGAUCUCGCCUGGCUGUGAGGCAGAUGUGAUAACCACAACACGCAAAAACAAUCAAACCAAAAAA